rnacentral:rRNA from 1 species
AAGCUUGCUUCUAAAUAACCUAGCGGCGGACGGGUGAGUAACACGUAGGCAACCUGCCCACAAGACAGGGAUAACUACCGGAAACGGUAGCUAAUACCCGAUACAUCCUUUUCCUGCAUGGGAGAAGGAGGAAAGGCGGAGCAAUCUGUCACUUGUGGAUGGGCCUGCGGCGCAUUAGCUAGUUGGUGGGGUAAAGGCCUACCAAGGCGACGAUGCGUAGCCGACCUGAGAGGGUGAUCGGCCACACUGGGACUGAGACACGGCCCAGACUCCUACGGGAGGCAGCAGUAGGGAAUCUUCCGCAAUGGGCGAAAGCCUGACG